UGAGGAAUAUUGGGCAAUGCCCGCAAGGGUGACCCAGCAACGCCACGUGGAGGAUGAAUGUCGUAAGAUUGUAAACUCCUGUUAGAGGGGAAGAAUAGUACCGGUUGGACCGGUAUAUGACUGUACCCUCAGAGAAAGCCCCGGCUAACUACGUGCCAGCAGCCGCGGUAAUACGUAGGGGGCAAGCGUUGUCCGGAUUUACUGGGUGUAAAGGGCGCGCAGGCGGGAUAAAAAGUCAGUGGUGAAAUCCUACAGCUUAACUGUAGAACGGCCUUGGAUACUUUUAUUCUUGAGUUCGGGAGAGAGAGACGGAAUUCCAGGUGUAGUGGUGAAAUACGUAGAUAUCUGGGAGAACACCAGUUGCGAAGGCGGUCUCUUGGUCCGACACUGACGCUGAGGCGCGAAAGCGUGGGGAGCAAACA
rnacentral:rRNA from 1 species